rnacentral:rRNA from 1 species
GACGAACGCUGGCGGCGUGCUUAACACAUGCAAGUCGAACGGAGAGGCCCCAGCUUGCUGGGGUACUCGAGUGGCGAACGGGUGAGUAACACGUGGGUGAUCUGCCUUGCACUCUGGGAUAAGCUUGGGAAACUGGGUCUAAUACCGGAUAUGAACUGCCUUUAGUGUGGUGGUUGGAAAGUUUUUUCGGUGCAAGAUGAGCUCGCGGCCUAUCAGCUUGUUGGUGGGGUAAUGGCCUACCAAGGCGUCGACGGGUAGCCGGCCUGAGAGGGUGUACGGCCACAUUGGGACUGAGAUACGGCCCAGACUCCUACGGGAGGCAGCAGUGGGGAAUAUUGCACAAUGGGCGGAAGCCUGAUGCAGCGACGCCGCGUGGGGGAUGACGGCCUUCGGGUUGUAAACUCCUUUCGACAGGGACGAAGCUUUUUGUGACGGUACCUGUAUAAGAAGCACCGGCUAACUACGUGCCAGCAGCCGCGGUAAUACGUAGGGUGCGAGCGUUGUCCGGAAUUACUGGGCGUAAAGAGCUCGUAGGUGGUUUGUCGCGUCGUCUGUGAAAUUCCGGGGCUUAACUUCGGGCGUGCAGGCGAUACGGGCAUAACUUGAGUGCUGUAGGGGAGACUGGAAUUCCUGGUGUAGCGGUGAAAUGCGCAGAUAUCAGGAGGAACACCGAUGGCGAAGGCAGGUCUCUGGGCAGUUACUGACGCUGAGGUACGAAAGCGUGGGUAGCAAACAGGAUUAGAUACCCUGGUAGUCCACGCCGUAAACGAUGAGUGUUAGGUGUCUGGAAUAAUCUGGGUGCCGCAGCUAACGCAUUAAACACUCCGCCUGGGGAGUACGCACGCAAGUGUGAAACUCAAAGGAAUUGACGGGGACCCGCACAAGCAGCGGAGCAUGUGGUUUAAUUCGACGCAACGCGAAGAACCUUACCAAGUCUUGACAUAAUACGGAAGUUUUUAGAGAUAAGAACCUACUUCUUCGGAAGACUGUAUUACAGGUGGUGCAUGGUUGUCGUCAGCUCGUGUCGUGAGAUGUUGGGUUAAGUCCCAUAACGAGCGCAACCCCUAUUGUUAGUUACCAUCAUUAAGUUGGGGACUCUAGCAAUACUGCCGGUGAUAAACCGGAGGAAGGUGGGGAUGACGUCAAAUCAUCAUGCCCUUUAUGACUUGGGCUACACACGUGCUACAAUGGCAGGUACACAGGGAAGCGAAACUGCGAAGUUAAGCAAAACUCAAAAAGCCUGUCUCAGUUCGGAUUGCACUCUGCAACUCGAGUGCAUGAAGUUGGAGUUGCUAGUAAUCGUGGAUCAGAAUGCCGCGGUGAAUGCGUUCCCGGGUC